GGGAUAAUGCUUUAGCACAGUUAAGGGUAUGGUCUCUAAAGCCAGAUUGCCUGGGUUCGUAAUCCCAGUUCUGCCG
rfam:Gorilla gorilla gorilla genomic chromosome, chr5, whole genome shotgun sequence